AAAGAAAGGAAGUUGGAUUGAAAUGAAGAGAAGUGGUGCAUUGUAGACCAAGUCCAGUGCCUGGGGAGCCACAUCCCAUCUCUUCAUGUGAUGCCACGAGGCAGAUAGAGCUCAUCCAUCACUCUGAGGCAUGCGUCCAAGCCUUCUAAUUACUCAGCUCCGAGCUCUUCUUACAGAAGCUUACCUAAAGGAGAUGGCAGCCAUGGCCGUAUCCACGUGCAUCGCUGCUCUAUGGGUGUGGGUGUGCAGAUGAACUGCUGUAUGCUUGGGGGCAGCAAAAGGGAUGGAGCAGCACAAGGCCAAGCGUCAAGGCAGG
rnacentral:lncRNA from 1 species